UCCAUCUGGGUCGUUCGUCUGCCGCUGCACAGUCUUUCUGAUUCACCUUGUCCGUUCGAUCAGUUAAUAUUUUUCUCACUCGCGCCUUCUUUGGAUGGGUCACUGAUGACUGGACCCGAGCGCGUGUGCGGCCACCCGCGAGAGGCAGCGUGGGUGCUUGUUUGCGUACCUUUCAUCGUCGUCAUUUUCCUACGCGCGUGAGGUGAAAACCUAGAUCGAGAAAUGGCGUCCCCCACCUCCGCUCCCAUCCCCCAAUCAUUCACCUCCUUCCUCCUCCCCCAACCCGCGCCGCCUCCUCUCCUCCUCCCAAGCAGGACGCAGCCGACGUGAGCAAGGAGGGAACUCGGGCGCCGCCGGAGAGCGGCCGCGGGGUGCUGCUGCGUGGAGCGCCAGUCACCGCCUCUCCUCCAUGCCAAGCAGGAUGCAACCGCAUCGGGCGGGAGGCGAUGGUCACCGCCGGUCGCGGGCGUCGCCGUGCGAUGAGGAGGUGGGCGGCUCCUCCACACCAACGAAAGGGGGAAACCGAGCGGUGGCGGCGGCUGGCGGCGCUCGCCCUCGAUUUCGUCCGAGCGUCCAGCGACGGCGGAAGGGAGCAAAAGAGGCGCGCUGGCAGAAGGCAGUAAUCGAGCGGCGGCGGCGGCUAGACCGCGCGCGCCCUCGAUUUCUUCCUCGGCACUCCUGGAGUGGAGAUGCUCUCUUCCAUAGUCGGUCGCCUCGCUGAGCCUAGCUGCACACCCUCGGUCGACUCCCGGUGUCGCGCGCUUGUCCGCCGCGCCCCAAGCCUGCUCAAGCCUCCAGCCUUGAUGUUGAUGAAGUUAAAAAGAUAAUUUAUAUUGAUGUGAGAGUUCUCAGACGAGGAGGAAAAAACAGUUCCCUAUUGCUGCUCUGUUGAUGUUUUUCAGAAGGUUGGUCUUGUUCUUGGACCUGAUUUUGUAUGCUGCUUGGUGCUUCCAGUUGGAGAGGAUGCAGUUAUAAAUGGAUAAAAAUAGGGCACAUGGCUUUUAUCCAGCAUUCAACAACCUCCAGUCCUAUAAAAAAGGCAACGAUUGGAUGGGCUUUGAGAACAGAGGCGAGGCUAGAUGGAGCUUUGAGGGCCUCCAGUUUGAUUAUGGCUUGCCAUAUCUAUUUCUCUACAGCAAGUACCACUUAUAUGUAAUUUUUUUAUCGUUGCGCAUAUCGGUGCUUUCCUUUUCUCUAUUUCCAAUAAUUAAGGUAUUGGCAGCAGCUGCUAUUUUUUUUGGUAUGCAUUGAACCUUAGGGGGGAAAGUCUAACGAGUGUGUUCUGGUUAGUAGUUUCAAGCUUGCAACUGUACUUUUUAUUCCGAAUUUUGUGAGAUUGAUUGCCUGCCAAAUCUUAUUACGACAUUCAGUUUGUCCAUAAAGAUUUCAUUACAACAUCCAUCAACCAUUCUAAAACCAUGAGGGAGGAUGCACCAUUUCUCCUUAUUUUGAUAUGUUGACACUUUUCAAUCACCUUGAUGCUUCAGUAGUAAUCUGACAAUGUCUUCGGUAGCACCGUAGCGGUCUGCACUUUCUUGACAGAAUUGAUUUUUAUUAACGGGGCCAGUUGAUGAUGGCAUCGUGCCACUUGAACAUUGUUAAAUCCUUACAACAAAUAAUAAUUCUCCUACUGAUUUCCUGAUUGUACUUCUUUCCUACGAAUUCUAGAAGAUUGUUGCGAAUUGGUUGUGAAAGCUAAACUGCUAGGUCAUCGACUCAUCCUAUAUUUGAACUACUGAAACUGAAUUUCCCUCAUUGGUUUAUAUUGAUUUUUUUAGUAAAUAGGAGCAAAUUCUAUAACUUGAAUGCAAAUAUCAAUGUUCAGCCAAUAAUCUAGAGUUUGAUGUAUCAUUUAAUUUUCAAAGUUAACUUUUGACUUAUAUAGCAGAGAUUGGGAUGACGACGAUGAUCAACCCAACUCUGAUUUAGUUUAGCCCUUAAAUCUGCUUGGAAAGAAUAUAUAUGUGCUCCCUUUUAUUAGUCAUUAAUUAUAUGGAGUUGUUAGCUAUUGGUGCUCCCAAUAUAUUAAGAGAGGAGCAAUAUUAGUGCCCCUUGUGAAAUGAGUAGAUUUGUAUUCAUGUUUACCUUUGCCAGCUUCCAGCUUCAGUAUAUUUGUUCCUACAGCCAAGUAAGAUGAUUUGUUUAUCCCUUAAAUAGUUUUGUAGAGAAUAUAUGUGUCAACUAUUAGUGCUGCUAAUUAAGUAAAUUUGUAUUUAUGCUUACCUUCGGCAGAUUCAGUAUAUUUGUUUCUGCAGCCAAGGAAGAUGGUUUGUUUUAGGAUGUUUUACCAUUCUUCUCGCUUAGUAGUUUACUGUGGUUCUCUGUACUAUUAAGAGCAUUGUAGUGACGUGCUUAUGAUAUGAUAAGAUUAGUAUUUAUGUUUAUCUUUGGCAGAUCCAAUAUUUAUGUUGAUUUUUUCAUGUUUUGCGGACAUGAGAGCUUCUUGGCCAGAGUAUUCAGUCUGGAGCGCAUGUUGCGUCAGGAUUUGAGCUGGGUUCGUGUGCAGCUAUAAGACUAAAGUAGAACCAAUAUUUUAUCCGUGCUACUCUCGCUGACAUUAGCUUGGUGGUUUUCUAUGUCCCACUUGGUGUUAGCUUUCUUAAUGCCCUAAUGUUUCCAUAGAUGAAAGCUAGGACUAAAAUUGACGCAUGUCCUAUGUUACUGCCCUGUGCUAUUGCUUCUAGGAGAUUUGUA